GGCAUACCCUUCGACAAGUUACUAUGUUUCCCAAUUGAAUUCAUAAGUUCAUUAGAGCUCCAAAAGACAUUUUUUUUGCCAUUUGGGGUGCUUUGAAAAAUUGGUCAAAAGGAAAUUUUUUUUUUUUCCUUUUCCUAUUCAAAUAGAAAUUUUGCGGAAAAUAACUUCUAAAAGAGAAACAUUUUCCAAAAUUUGACAAACUUGAUAGAAUUAAAGGAACCUAUAAAAGAACCACAUAAACACGUAGCCAUAGCCUAUUGACAAUUGCUGGUCAUUCUUAGCUUUCACUAGCAACCAACACUAGUUGCUGGCCAUAACAACAAUUUUACCUGUUCUUUUAUUCUUAUAUUCAACAACAAAUAGAAAAAUAGGAAGAUCCUUAUUGGUUUAAAAAGUUUCAUAAUAUUAUAUAUCAAACGAAAGUAAUG
rnacentral:misc_RNA from 1 species